UAAACAAAGGGAGGCGAAGCCGUGAGGCGGAGCGAAUCCCAAAAAUAAACGUCCCAGUUCGGAUUGUAGUCUGCAACCCGACUACAUGAAGCUGGAAUCGCUAGUAAUCGCGAAUCAGCAUGUCGCGGUGAAUACGUUCCCGGGUCUUGUACACACCGCCCGUCACACCAUGGGAGUUGGAAAUGCCCGAAGUCAGUGACCCAACCGAGAGGAGGGAGCUGCCGAAGGCAGGUUCGAUAACUGGGGUGAAGUCGUAACAAGGUAAC
rnacentral:rRNA from 1 species